UCUCCGUAGGUGAACCUGCGGAAGGAUCAUUAUUGUAUAACCGAGGUGCGAGGGCUGUCGCUGACCCGAAAGGUCCUGCACGCCCGAGUGCCCUCACACACAUCCAUCUCACCCCUAUGUGCACCACCGCGUGGGUCCCCCUUUGGCUUGUUCGGAGGGGGGCUUACGUUUUCACACAAACUUUGUAUGCAGUGUAGAAUGUAUUUUUUGUUUUUGCGAUCACGCAAUCAAUACAACUUUCAACAACGGAUCUCUUGGCUCUC
rnacentral:misc_RNA from 1 species